rnacentral:tRNA from 1 species
GCCGCGUUGGCUCAAUGGUAGAGCGUCGCCCUCCUAAAACAGGCGAAGGCUGCGGGUUCGAGUCCCGUGCGUGGUA